GUGGAUUAGAUACCCUGGUAGUCCACGCCGUAAACGAUGAGCACUAGGUGUCGGGGUCGCAAGACUUCGGUGCCGCAGUUAACGCAUUAAGUGCUCCGCCUGGGGAGUACGUACGCAAGUAUGAAACUCAAAGGAAUUGACGGGGACCCGCACAAGCAGCGGAGCAUGUGGUUUAAUUCGAAGCAACGCGAAGAACCUUACCAGGACUUGACAUCCUUCUGACAGGCCCUUAACCGGGCCCUCCUUCGGGCAGAAGAGACAGGUGGUGCACGGCUGUCGCCAACU
rnacentral:rRNA from 1 species